rnacentral:rRNA from 1 species
UUUUUUAAAUUGCUGUGGUAAAUUGACUAUACGAAGGUAUUGAAAUAAGGUUUUAAUUGAAUGCUAAGAGAAUGGAUUAAUGAUUAAAAACUUUAUUAUUAAAAAUAUUAAAAUUUAAAUAAUUAGUGAGGAUGCUAAUAUAAAAUUAUGGGACAAGAAGACCCUAUGAAUCUUUAUAAAAAUUUGAUUGGGGCGAUAGAAAAAGAUUGAGAAUCUUUAUUUAGAUCCAAUAUAUUGAUUAAAUGAAAAAGAUACUCUAGGGAUAACAGCGUUAUUAUUAUGGAGAGUUCAUAUUGAUAUAAUAGUUUGCGACCUCGAUGUUGAAUUAAUGAACCUAAUAUUUGAAGUAGAAUAUUAAGGUAGAUUGUUCAUCUAUUAAAUCAUUA